rnacentral:rRNA from 1 species
AUUGAACGCUGGCGGCAUGCCUUACACAUGCAAGUCGAACGGCAGCACGGGUGCUUGCACCUGGUGGCGAGUGGCGAACGGGUGAGUAAUACAUCGGAACGUACCUUAUCGUGGGGGAUAACGCAGCGAAAGCUGUGCUAAUACCGCAUGCGCCCUGAGGGGGAAAGCGGGGGAUCGAAAGACCUCGCGCGAUUAGAGCGGCCGAUGUCUGAUUAGCUGGUUGGUGGGGUAAAAGCCCACCAAGGCGACGAUCAGUAGCUGGUCUGAGAGGACGAUCAGCCACGCUGGGACUGAGACACGGCCCAGACUCCUACGGGAGGCAGCAGUGGGGAAUUUUGGACAAUGGGGGCAACCCUGAUCCAGCAAUGCCGCGUGAGUGAAGAAGGCCUUCGGGUUGUAAAGCUCUUUUGUCAGGGAAGAAACACCGGCUCUAACACAGUCCGGGAAUGACGGUACCUGAAGAAUAAGCACCGGCUAACUACGUGCCAGCCGCCGCAGUAA